rnacentral:rRNA from 1 species
UGGGGAAUUUUGGACAAUGGGCGCAAGCCUGAUCCAGCCAUGCCGCGUGUCUGAAGAAGGCCUUCGGGUUGUAAAGGACUUUUGUCAGGGAAGAAAAGGACAGGGUUAAUACCUCUGUUUGAUGACGGUACCUGAAGAAUAAGCACCGGCUAACUACGUGCCAGCAGCCGCGGUAAUACGUAGGGUGCGAGCGUUAAUCGGGAUUACUGGGCGUAAAGCGAGCGCAGACGGUUACUUAAGCAGGAUGUGAAAUCCCCGGGCUCAACCUGGGAACUGCGUUCUGAACUGGGUGACUAGAGUGUGUCAGAGGGAGGUAGAAUUCCACGUGUAGCAGUGAAAUGCGUAGAGAUGUGGAGGAAUACCGAUGGCGAAGGCAGCCUCCUGGGAUAACACUGACGUUCAUGCUCGAAAGCGUGGGUAGCAAACAGGAUUAGAUACCCUGGUAGUCCACGCCCUAAACGAUGUCAAUUAGCUGUUGGGCAACUUGAUUGCUUAGUAGCGUAGCUAACGCGUGAAAUUGACCGCCUGGGGAGUACGGUCGCAAGAUUA